rnacentral:lncRNA from 7 species
AGAUCAGCGCUGUUUGCCGAGCACAGCACAUGAAAGGUGCAGCGGGGACCAUUGGGCAGAUCUAAUGUGUUUGUAAACAGCAACAAAACCUUUACAGGCACAUCUGAGGUGAGGUGAGAUGUGCUGGGCUGCAGGUACAACUGCUUCCAGAUCUGGAUGGAGCUCUUUCUCCUGCUUCCUCUUCCUUGACACCUUCUCCUGCUGAUACAGAGACUGUCUGCAUGCAGGGGGAAAACAAACCUGCCAACGCCACGCGAGUCCCCUCAGGAUUUCCCACUUUGUCAAAAGCUGCCGAGUUGCAGGUGGGAACAGCAUGCUGGCAGCGACUGCAUGGCUGCUCCACUCAUCCCCACUGAUGACUUUGAAAGCAGUGUUUCCACAUGAAAAAAAGAAACAAAUGCAAACCACAUGACUGGGGAAGCGGGGAUGUCAGACAGGGAAACAGAGCUCCUCCUAAAGCUGUCUGCAGGAGUCUGCUUCUCUUCUCUCCUGCUUCUCCCUUGGACUUGCUAGGUUGGAGUCUGGAUAGGGCCACGGUACAGAUGCUGCCUGCCCCAUUUCUCCACCCCAUGUGUUUUAGUGGGACACGUCCUGCAGCUGCCAUCCCAUCCUCACCAAAGGCUUUUCCAUUACAAAGAGCGAACAGGAAGGAUUUGUGUGGCUUUGAACAUGUGCUGGAGUGGGGUGGCUUUCUCUGCUUGCUAUGAGCAGGCACUUCACCCCACCAUCACCUGAAGCUCUCCAGGUGACAGCAACAAGGGAUCUGGUUGACUUGAGUGAACAGGUUGAAGGUGUCCCUCUGGGGGACCCCAGGCAGGGAGCCCAGAGAAGACAAACUUGGAGAAAGACAUCACCAUGGAGAAAAGAGCAUCAUGCUGCCUUCUUGUUUUCAAGACACUAGCAUAACAAGAAAGAAGGAACAAGAGACUGGAUGGGCUUUUGUGAGUCACGUUGCCAGUAUGAGCAUCCUUUGCACCAAAAUACCUGGUUAAAAAUAGCUGAGAUAUUCUGUGUCUGCUUAUUUGGGAUCCUGCUCUUGGGUUUAGUCAGUACUAACAUCUUUCUUAUCUCUGUGGUUGGUCAACAGUGCCUUUACUGGAAAAUGGAGGGAGAAAUCUGGGAGAUUUCAUAUCAAGCAAUAUUUCUUGGCAGUACACUAAAAGGGUUAAAUCGGUCUUUCAGCAAUGGGCUCAAAGCUCAGAGGCAACUGCACAUUGUCUGCAUUUAUGGCUAUGAAGAGGGAGGAUGACGUGACAAAAAGCUCGUGAACGCUUUCUGCAGGCUGGAUGGGAAGUGCAGCUGAGGAUUUUGCGCAAGCAUCAGCAGUGCAGAGCCGUCUGUCUCUCUUUUGGAGACAAAAAACAUAGUAUUGGAAUUGUCCAUCCUUCCAGGACUGCCACAAUCUUCAUACAAUGGCCAUCACGUUUAACUGAAAAGAGGUUAAAACCCUCAGAGAUGCAGACUGCCGCUCUUUAGGGGUAUUUCCUUCCUGGCAACAUGAUCGAUAAACCAUUAGGUAACUC